UUCUUUCAAAAAAAUAAUAAUUAAAUGUAAUAAAAGAGGGAGGAGCCGCAUGAGAAGAGGAGAGAGUUCACAGAACUAGCACUUAUAUUCUGUUUUUGCAGAGGUAUAUUUGGCUGUUGUGUGAGACAUUC
ensembl:snoRNA predicted gene, 22338